rnacentral:rRNA from 1 species
CACGGGGGUUGCGAGCGUUGUCCGGAAUUACUAGGCGUAAAGGGCAGGCAGGCGGAUCCAUAAGUUUAUCGUUUAAGGCGUCGGCUUAACCGGCGUAGGGCGGUAGAUACUGUGGAUCUGGAAUGCGGUUGGGGAAGACAGAAUUCCUGGUGUAGCGGUGGAAUGCGCAGAGAUCAGGAGGAAUACCGAAGGCGAAGGCAGUCUUCCAAGCCGUUAUUGACGCUCAACUGCGAAGGUGUGGGUAUCAAACAGGAUUAGAUACCCCCGGUAGUCCCUGAG